GGAUAUGAGGGCGAUCUAGUUACAAUAUCUGUCACCCUACUGAUGGCCAGCGUUGAUCCGGCUGAUCUGGCUGCCUAGGUGGGUGUCCCCUUCCUCCCUCACCGCUCCACGUGCAUCCCUCCCAAAGUUGUGUGCUAGGUCAAAAAGGAUGACCAGCCCCGAAAGAGGAGGACUGGACUUUGGUCAAGGGUAUACAAGUAUCGAUGCUCCCCUGCUAGAAACUCCAAACAAGCUCUCAAGUUCCAGAAGGAAGUGAAAGAAGAAAACCAGUGUGGAUAGA
rnacentral:snRNA from 1 species